AUUGAACGCUGGCGGCAGGCCUAACACAUGCAAGUCGAGCGAGCGGCGGACGGGUGAGUAAUGUAUGGGAAACUGCCUGAUGGAGGGGGAUAACUACUGGAAACGGUAGCUAAUACCGCAUACCAUCAGAUGUGCCCAGAUGGGAUUAGCUAGUAGGUGGGGUAAUGGCUCACCUAGGCGACGAUCCCUAGCUGGUCUGAGAGGAUGACCAGCACAACUGGAACUGAGACACGGCCCAGACUCCUACGGGAGGAAGCAGUGGGGAAUAUGGCAAAAUGGGCGCAAGCCUGAUGCAGCCAGGCCGCGGGUGGGAAGAAGGCCUUCGGGUUGUAAAGCACUUUCAGCGGGGAGGCGUUACCCGCAGAAGAAGCACCGGCUAACUCCGUGCCAGCAGCCGCGGUAAUUC
rnacentral:rRNA from 1 species